AGCAGCCGCGGUAAUUCCAGCUCCAAUAGCGUAUAUUAAAGUUGUUGCAGUUAAAAAGCUCGUAGUUGAAUUUCGGGGUCAGUAGUUUGGUCGUGCCAAUGGUAUGUACUGGGCUCACUGAUUCCUCCUUCCUGAUGAACUGUAAUGCCAUUAAUUUGGUGUUGCAGGGAAACUGGACUGUUACUUUGAAAAAAUUAGAGUGUUUAAAGCAAGCUAACGCUUGAAUACAUUAGCAUGGAAUAAUGAAAUAGGACGUUCGAUCCUAUUUCGUUGGUUUCUAGGAUUGACGUAAUGAUUAAUAGGGAUAGUUGGGGGCAUUAGUAUUCAAUUGUCAGAGGUGAAAUUCUUGGAUUUAUUGAAGACUAACUACUGCGAAAGCAUUUGCCAAGGAUGUUUUCAUUAAUCAAGAACGAAAGUUAGGGGAUCGAAGACGAUCAGAUACCGUCGUAGUCUUAACCAUAAACUAUGCCGACUAGGGAUCGGAUGAUGUAAUUUUUAAUGACUCAUUCGGCGCCUUACG
rnacentral:rRNA from 1 species